UACGGAGGGGGCUAGCGUUGUUCGGAAUUACUGGGCGUAAAGCGUACGUAGGCGGCUUUGUAAGUUAGAGGUGAAAGCCCGGGGCUCAACUCCGGAAUUGCCUUUAAGACCGCAUCGCUUGAAUCAUGGAGAGGUGAGUGGAAUUCCGAGUGUAGAGGUGAAAUUUGUAGAUAUUCGGAAGAACACCAGUGGCGAAGGCGACUCACUGGACAUGUAUUGACGCUGAGACGCGAAAGCGUGGGGAGCGAACAGG
rnacentral:rRNA from 1 species